AUCUCCGGGGGUAGAGCACUGUUUCGGCAAGGGGGUCAUCCCGACUUACCAACCCGAUGCAAACUGCGAAUACCGGAGAAUGUUAUCACGGGAGACACACGGCGGGUGCUAACGUCCGUCGUGAAGAGGGAAACAACCCAGACCGCCAGCUAAGGUCCCAAAGUCAUGGUUAAGUGGGAAACGAUGUGGGAAGGCCCAGACAGCCAGGAUGUUGGCUUAGAAGCAGCCAUCAUUUAAAGAAAGCGUAAUAGCUCACUGGUCGAGUCGGCCUGCGCGGAAGAUGUAACGGGGCUAAACCAUGCACCGAAGCUGCGGCAGCGACACUGUGUGUUGUUGGGUAGGGGAGCGU
rnacentral:rRNA from 1 species